ensembl:lncRNA
AGGGCUGAGCAGCGCCGCUGCCGUCGGGUUCGUAGCUUUGCAGCGCCGCUAAGGCUUCGGCGCCCGCAGCCUCAGGGGCCCAGCGGCUCCGCUUUGUGCCGGGCCAGGUCUCCGAGAUCCUGGAUGAACGUCACAGGUUGAUGGCUGCUUCUGGAUGUUGACCCUGUUGGAAACUUGAGCUCCCAAUGGCACAGUUUGACGAUGCGGUCCAGUGUUGAGAAGACCAGCGUGCCCCACCGAGGGGAGGAUGGCAUCUGCUUCAUGAAGGAUAGCCCAACCUUUUCAUUUCUCUUCCUGGACGGUUCGUGUUCCAGAUCUGUAGCUGUAUUGAAGACAAACCCUCGCUGCUGCUGCGGAAGCCUUAGUACA